GGGAUCAAACCCACAGCACCUCAGGGACCUGAGCAAUAGCAGUGACAACACUGGAUCCUUAACAUUCUGUGCCACAAGGAAAUAUAUAAAAGCUUUUGUCUUGCUAAGUUUCUCUUCCCUGGUCCUUUGGAUAAAGAAAGCAAGAUUCACUUGAGGCUUUAUUUGUUCGUGCCUUUUGGCAUAUCUGGGUUGUUUGCUUCUCCAUCUCUCAGUCUGGGAUAUCUGAGACAAAAUGAAAACCCAGGGAAUGCACCACCAUGUCAUUCCUUGAGUUUUUAGGUUCCUAACCAGCCUGUCUUCUCUUUACUUUCAGAAUCUUGUUAUAUUGUUAUGCAUAUGGUGUCCAGAGUUCUUAGUUGUGCCUGGCAGGCAGAGUAGGGAAACAGAGUUCUCUUGUGGCUCACCAUGUAGUCUCUGCCAUGGCUCUGGUCACUGCUGUAGCUUGAGUUUGAUUCCUAACCCAGGAACUUUUGCAUGCUGUGGGCACAACCUGAAAAAAAAUAAAAGAAAUAAGAAAAGAAAAGAAAAAAAAUAGGGAGAAAGAUGUCUACUCCAUCUUUCUAGAAGUAGAAGUCAUCUUUUUUUUUAAACUUAUUUUUUUCAUUGAAAUACAUUUGCUGUGCAAUAUCAUAUAAGUUAUCAGAUGUACAAUACAGUAAUUCACAAUUUUAAAGGUUAUACUCCAUUUAUAGUUAUUAUAAAAUAUUGGCUGUAGUCCCCAUGUUGUUUAGUGUAUCCUUAUAGCUUAUUUUAUACCUAAUAGUUUGUGCUCUGAAUCCCCUGCCUCUAUAUUGGCCCUCUUCUCUUCCUGCUCCCUACUGGAAACCACCAAUUUGUUCUCUGUGUCUGUGUGUCUGCCUUUUUUGUUGUUGUUAUAUUCACUAGUUUGUUGUAUUUUUUAAGAUUCCACAUAUAAAUGAUAUCAUAUAGUGUUUGUCUUUCUCUUUCUGAUCAAAGCAUAAUGCCCUCCAAGUCCAUACAUGUUGCUGCACAUGGCAAAAUUUUGUGGCUUAGUAGUAUCCCAUUGUCUGCCUGCCUGCCUGCCUGUCUGUCUGUCUGUCUAUCUAUCUGUCUAUCUAUCUAUCUGUCUAUCUACCGUAUUAAAAAUGCAAAACGCACCGUAAGACAGGAUAAAUAUUAAAGCAAAAUCUUUAAUUUUGUUUGUGCAUGUGAAGUGAUGGACAGCUGACCAGUCUAUUCUCUGCCUCUUGCCCCUUCUCAUAUCAUAAACCUCACAAUAACAGAACCCUACAUGUGUUUGUGGUUGAGUUUAAUAGUAAGUUUUUAGUUGAUACAAAGUAUGCUUUUCAUUUUACUUGGAUAAUUGAACAGAGUUGAUGAACGUAAGUGUGGACAUACUAUAGAACAGAGGGAGCCCAUUAGUAGUAAGAGAUGCCUUACCAUGUCCUCAAAAUAUUUUGCAUAUUAGUGUCAUAAUUCAUGCAGAUUCAGAAGAGACAAGUGGCCUGAGGUGGUAGUGAUUUAUGGAGUAACCUUCCUUCUCAUGUCAGGUAACUUCAUGAACCUCCGGAGGAAAAACACCAAGAUAAAAAUCUUCUUGCCUAGCAAAGGAGAUGUGAACAAUUUUCGUCAAAGUAAAAUAAUGACUAAUCCCAAGAACAGGGAAGUCAUUUCUACGCAUAAAAUCACAGGGAUAAAAACGUGAAGAGAAGACUGAUAUAUUUGACUAAAUCAAAAUGAUAAGCGUCUAUAUAUUCAAAAAUACCAUGGAUAAAAUGAAAUCAUAUUAUAGCAGGAAAAUAUUUGGAACAUACAUGAAAAAGUGUUCUUUUUUUGUUAUGUUAUAAACAACACAAUAGAAAACCUGAUACGGAAUCUAAGGUAUUUAGAAAUAUAGAAAUGUCUAGCCCAUGGAUAAAAAGGAAAUGUCCACUGCUAAAAAAAUAAACACAAGGAGUAACAGCAUCUCACGUUUCCUUAUGACCCUAUUAGAGUAGCUUUUGAAAGUAUAUAAAAGAAAGUGCUGAUGAGCAUGUGAAGAGGGCACGUUUAUAAGAGGGUGAAUUUGAUUAGACCUCUGGGGAUGAAUUUGGCCCUGUGUAUUAAGAGCCUACACAUUUUGAUAUCCCUUGAUUAAGAACUAUAUGUCUAGUAAUCAUUUAUGUGAAAAAUCAGAGCUGAAUCCAAAGUUUUUAAGCCAGGAUAUUGUUCCACCUCCUUAAAAACAUAGAUCAAAUUAAAGAAAUUCAAAUGUUCAAAAAUAAAAUGAUAUUUCAUAUGACUGAAUGUAAAGUAGGCACUUUGAGAAUAUUUUUUAGUUUAUUUUUUAUUGUUAUUUCCCCCAACACACUUUUUUUCCCACUGUAUAGCAUAGAAACCCAGUUACACAUACAUGCGUACAUAAUUUUUUCUCCCAUUGUUCUGCUGUGUUGUAAGUAUCUAGACAUAGUUCUCAGUGCUGCACAGCAGGAUCUCAUUGUUAAUCCUUUCCAAAAGCAAUAGUUUGCAUUCCUUAACCUCAAACUCCCAAUCCCUCCCUCUCCCCCAGGCAGCCACAAGUCUAUUCUCCAAGUCUGUGAUUUUCUUUUCUGUGGAAAGGUUCAUUUACGCUUUAAGAAUAUUAAACAACGUAAAUUUUAACAAGAUGUUUUAAGUGAAAAGUAUCAGAGUGUGAGAUAAUGUGAUUUUUUGUUUCCUUACUUCUGUUUUCCCGUAUUUUAAUGGGCACGGGUACAUUUUAUAAUUAAGAAUAGUGCUACUUAAUAAUUUUAAAUUUGCGGUAAACUUUCCUAAAACCUUUGGAAAUCUAGGAGUAUAAAAUAAAACAAGGGAAAGACUCGAUGUGUGUAGUCUCACCUGUAAAAUGUUGGUGUUUACCAGCAGGUGGCAGUAGGAAAUAAGCAGUGUUUCAGACAUGAGGGGCGAGGCUUUGAAGUGUUGCUUCUUUUUCCUAAAUGUGGAGGAUUAUGACCAUAGUACCAGGGCGAUGCUCUGAUUUACAAUCAUUCAUAUGCUUACAUCACAGUUUAUCUUGAAACGAUCAAAGGGGUCCAACAAAACGCCCCUGGAGAAAUGCCUAGUACUAUUCAGAGGGAGGAGAACAGAGUCUGUACUUUAUAUCAUUACAUGUUUAUUUUUUAAAUCAUCCCUAGUCAACAGAGAAUUAAUUAUUUUUGUAUUAAAAAUGCAAACCAAAUUCAUAAACUUAUGUCUUCAAAGCUCUCUAAAUAUGCUUCGUUGUCAAUCUAAUUAUUGCACUUGAGUAUUCUUUUUCAUCUCAAAUCAUAAAAUUCAGACGCUCAUAGCAGUUGGUUUUUAAUAAUUACUGGCUUUUAGGGAAUACUAAAACAUGCGCACACACUUUAGGGUAGUGUUACAAUUAUUUUUACUCCAUUUCUGCCUCAGUCAGUGAUAAGGUGCUUACGGCGUGGGCCCCUGAAGGUUCCUUGCCCCGAUGCUCAGAGGUGGUGACUGGUGGUGCAACUAAGGUUGAUUUCCUAUAAGAUGCAUGUCUCUCAGUCGCCCUUUAGGAAUGACGUGUUAUUAACAAGAGCAAGUUCUGGGAAGGUUUGUCUUUUCCAAUAAUCACUUUUGAUUCCCUUGACAUGAUCCAGAAGUCAAGUACAUGCUAAAAUAGAUAAACCCAUGAUAAAUAGGCUUUGGUACUCAGAGCACAUUGGUAUUUACUUUUGUUAAAUAACCAACAUGUGACAAAUCAAUUUCUGAAUUAAAUUCUGUGUUUAAUGGGCUCCCUCUGUAUACAUUUUUUUUUUUCCUAUGGCAGGGGGAAAUAAUGAUGAAUGAAUCUCAGGAUAUAUUUAUUUGUAAAUUUUCUCUCAUUCCAGUCUCAUGGAGUUUUUAAUAACUAUGUUAAGAUUAAAAAAAAAAAAAGCUGAACACUGAAGUAUAUGGAAUGAGUGGCCAGUGGCGACCUGCUGUAUCUACCACACAGUGAACUCUACUGACUAUCCCGUGAUAAUCUGGGUGGGAAAAGAAUCUGAAAGAGAAUGGACGUGGGUGUGCAUGUAUAACUGAAUCACUGUUUUAUACAGCAGAAUUUAUUACAACAUUGAAAAUCAACUAUACUUCAGUAAAACUUUAAAAAAAUAGCUGAGACUGAGGGGGGGUUAAUUAAACUCAGGGUCACAGAACUUACAAGGAUUGCAAAGUUGGAAAAAACAAAACCAGCUGCAGUCACCACUCUGUUCUGAGCCAGGGCCGGCUCUCACCUGUACUGUGGCAUCUGCCAUCUGCAUCCUGAGGUCUCCAGGCAGGCCUGCCCCACCCCACAGCUCUCUGGUCUAAUCCCCACCUCCUGGAGGAGUUGCCCUUUAAAAUGAAGGUCAGCUAGGCCACACCCCUUCUCCAAACCCUCCCACAGCUUCCCUUCCUUCUCACAAUAAAAAUCCAACCUUCUUAGCAAGGGAUGCCCAGGCUUGUGUGAUCCUGGCUUGGUCCCCUGCCAGGGGGUCCUCUUAGAGCUCCUGUUCUUCUUCGCGCACUCCAGGCACCCUGGCCUCCCCACUCCAUCAUAAAGCACUCUGCCUUCUCAAUCUGUGACAUUUGAAGUCCUCUCCCUGGUCCUCUUGCUCACCUCCUCUCUAGGUUCCCUCUGUAAAGAUAGAUUCCCUGACUCAUUUCCUGCACUGUCUGUCCAUCUACUCAGCUUUGCUUUUCUUCACUGCAAUGACUGCUAAGUGGCUGUCUAUCCACAAUACAUUGUUUCAUUGUCUAUCUUCUGUCUUUUUCACUGGCCUGCAGCCCCCAGAUUGCAGGGUCUUUGUUCUCAUCUUCACUACUGUAUCUCAGCGCUUAUAAUCAUGCCUGCUAUAUGGUGACACUCAGUGAAUUUGUAUUCACAUAGGUGAGUGAAUGAAGGAAUAAAGCCUGCCCUUUCUGACUCUCCGUCCCCUCGUCCUUCGGUCAGCUUUCUGAGAGGUAAAAUAGGCUUGUUUAGAGCCAGCGCCAGACUUUGCAAUGAGCAUGGUAAGGGGGUGCCCUGGCUAGCUCUUUGCCCUACAGCUAGUUAAAGAGCCUUCCAGCCUCUCUCUCUGUUCCUCACUUACGAAAUAAGAUAAUUAUCAUCUUUCCUUCAUCUACCGCAUUAAGUUGUAGGGAGAUCAAGAAAGAAAAUAUUUUCAUGAGAUCUUGCUAAACUUUGAGAAAGCAAGCCAAAAGUGAUAUUUGAGAAUUUUAGGAUCAUUAAUCAGGCACAUUUGCUAUAGAGCAGCAGUGAAUACAGUAAAGGACAAACCAAGGACAUUUAUUUUCAGGCUCUGAGGUGGCCAAGAAGAGCAGAAUUGGAAUUGUUGACUUUAAAAAAAUGCAUAUCCUGAAAGUUGAAAGUUAAGUUUUAUUUGGAGGGAAAUUAGGAUGUAAACCCACAGCUCCUGGAGUUCCCGUCAUGGCUCAGUGGUUAACGAAUCCGACUAGGAACCAUGAGGUUGCAGGUUCGAUCCUUGGCCUUGCUCAGUGGGUUGAGAAUGUGGCGUUGCCGUGAGCUGUGGUGUAGGUUGCAAACACACCUCGGAUCCCGUGUUGCUGUGGCUCUGGUGUAGGCUGGUAGGUUCCCCUAGCCUAGGAACCUCCAUAUGCUGUGAGAGCGGCCCUAGAAAACACAAAAAGACAAAACAAACAAACAAAAAAACAAAACAAAAAAGCCCACAGCUCCAAGGAGGCAAGGGGGGAAGCUAGGAUAUAUAAGCAGGUAGCAGGAACAAAAGAUUAUGGGAAACCAGACAUCUCAAGUUAACUAUGUCAGGGCAUUUCUUUGGGAAGAUGCGUAUAUCUGGGCUUACUGGAGUCACUCCUUUGAUAUGCACCUCAGGGUGGGACCUGUAUUCUUUGUUUCCUUCCUGAGUUCCCUCAGGACUCCCUGGCUCACCCUUGGGAUUGGCUGCAUUGAAAUACUGCUCUGAAAUUCAGGUAGCUCUGAAACACUGCUCCAAAGAGGCAGGGGGAAACAAUAUCAGUGUAUAUGUGAUAAAGGUGUUACAAGGUUGCUUCUGGUCUCAUAAAGGUCACUACUAGACACAAGGAGUGGACAUCACCAUGGAGGAUUUUAGUGUUUUCUAGAUAUGAGGAGGUGCAAGAAGUAGGCUCAUAAAACCUUCUUCUAAAAAUAUUUAACUAAAUGAAGACCUGCUCUUCCAGUUUUCCCAGAGCACAGAGUGCCUCACUCCUGGUCUCCACUCAGAUCUGCUCCCGGGGGUGCUGCGGGUCAGCAGCUGCAGUGGCUCAUGAUUCAGUCUAUGUAGAGGCUGUUGGUGAUGCCAGAAAGAUGUUAACCAGAAUCCGGGUUCUUGUUCCUGCAUCGAAGAAUGAACUCCACGAACACAUAGGCAGCAGGCAAGCGAAGUCUUUAUUAAAGGAAAGCAAAUAGCUCCCAGGGCUGCUGAGAGGGGGGAGAAGGGCCCCUUUCUCUAUUGUCCCAUAGGGGUUUUUAUUUCUUAAAGAUGGGGGGUUACCAACGUGGGGUCUAGAAAGAUGUGGCUUUCUGCUAUUGGCCUUGCCCAGUUACCUAUAUCAGUCCUUGUCCAAUAGGGGUCUCAGGGGUGGAAAUGUCCCGUAAACCUCAUAGCUUCUUUGCCCUUUUAUUCCCAUAAACUGAGUCACAGGGGGUUAGGGAUUAUCGUCUAUCUGGGCAUAUGUGCACUCCCUGUAGUAAACAAGGCCUGUGGGGAUGUUACUCCCUAGAGCCCUUAAGCCACAAAGGUUAAUCAGUAGCCAUAUCAAAGCCCAGCCUACAUAGACUACCUGAGUUAGUAUUCCACCUCAACUGCAAGUGCCAAACUCUAGUUCCCAGAAGCCAGUUCAGCAUGAAUUUGCAUGUGAGUCCCUGCUCAGCCUCUUGCUGCCUAAGUGACUGUGGGCAAAUGAUUCAAAUUCUCUGGGCCUCAGUUUUCUGUAUGUCAAGUGGUGUGACUGAAUGUGCCUUGAGGGUUCUUACAGAGAUAGUAAAUGAGAUGCAUGCCUGUCAAGCACAGUGCUUUAUUAUUAUUGCAAGUGGGAUGGCCGGGAACAAACCUGGCCGAACCCAAUGAUCACGUUCUCUUAUGAACAAAAUGUAUUGUUCACACCACCACCUGCCCUGUUAGUGGGAAGACACUUGAGUUUUCCUCUCCUUCCACUCUCCUAUCAUUCCUUUAUAAUCCAAGGACUGUCACCUACAGAGGCUUAGUUCUGUGAGAAAGCCCCGGGGGGAGGAAAGAACUAGAAUCUUUGCCUGAAGCUGCGAUUACACAUUAUGGCCACAUGGUGUCACUGUUGCAGAUGGCUCCUUUUCAGUAAGUCUGAAAGCCACUUGUUUUCAUGCCCUCUUCUAACCAACCACCUGCAGUAGCAGCUUGACGCUUGGUUUCAGGGGCACCAGCUCUCUGUCCUCACACGCAGGGAGCUAAGGUCUCCGGAUGCUGAGGGACUUCCAGCAUCAACCACAGUCUGUGCUAAAGAAGGAGAGACCCCUGAGGCCAUCUCCAGCUUGGCUCAACAUCCUGGGGAGUAAUUUCCUAUCAGGCAGACUCUCACUCCAGAAUUGCCCACCUUCUCCAUAGGGACCAACUCUCUAGAACAGGGGAUUAAGUAGUUUUGCUUUGUAACACAGGCAUGUGCAUGUGCACAUAAACACACACACACACAUUCACACACAGUCAUUUUCUGUCACCUUCUCCCAGAGCAGUGGACAUUCAUUUGCAAAAUUAAUAGGGCUAACUCAAGUGGCAAAAUACAAAAAAAAA
ensembl:lncRNA